rnacentral:lncRNA from 1 species
CUCCAGUGCUGAAGCAAAUAAAGGACAAAAAAGCUGUCCCCAUCACCAAGAACAGAAUAAAGAACCCAAAAGCCUUCAUACUGCAAGUACAAAUAUUCAAAAAACUGAGAAAAUAUAAAGAUUGAUAUUUGGUUUUUCCUUCACACCCUUUUCAAGAAAAGUGAGUAAUUCAACCCAUUUGAAAGAACCCGUCUUUGGUAGAUGAAAAAGAAGAAGAACAAGAACUCAUUCUAGCCCAUGUUGGAGUAUAUAACAAAGAGAAUUAUUAUUAGAAUAUAUUAAAGAAAUAAUAUAGUAGUGAGGAUGAG